GCCUCUGUGGUGUAGUUGGUUAUCACGUGAGUCUCAUAUUCAUGUCCUAUUUACAAACAUAUGAUAGGUAGCAAAAACUACUUAGCGAUCUCAAGGUCGCCAGUUCGAUCCUGGCCGGGGGCA